GACGAACGCUGGCGGCGUGCUUAACACAUGCAAGUCGAACGGGAAGGCCCUGCUUUUGUGGGGUGCUCGAGUGGCGAACGGGUGAGUAACACGUGAGUAACCUGCCCUUGACUUUGGGAUAACUUCAGGAAACUGGGGCUAAUACCGGAUAGGAGCUCCUGCUGCAUGGUGGGGGUUGGAAAGUUUCGGCGGUUGGGGAUGGACUCGCGGCUUAUCAGCUUGUUGGUGGGGUAGUGGCUUACCAAGGCUUUGACGGGUAGCCGGCCUGCGAGGGUGACCGGCCACAUUGGGACUGAGAUACGGCCCAGACUCCUACGGGAGGCAGCAGUGGGGAAUAUUGCACAAUGGGCGGAAGCCUGAUGCAGCAACGCCGCGUGCGGGAUGAAGGCCUUCGGGUUGUAAACCGCUUUCGCCUGUGACGAAGCGUGAGUGACGGUAAUGGGUAAAGAAGCACCGGCUAACUACGUG
rnacentral:rRNA from 1 species